rnacentral:rRNA from 1 species
AGUGAACGCUGGCGGUAGGCCUAACACAUGCGAGUCGAACGGCAGCACAGUAAGAGCUUGCUCUUACGGGUGGCGAGUGGCGGACGGGUGAGGAAUACAUCGGAAUCUACUUUUUCGUGGGGGAUAACAUAGGGAAACUUACGCUAAUACCGCAUACGACCUACGGGUGAAAGCAGGGGAUCUUCGGACCUUGCGCGAUUGAAUGAGCCGAUGUCGGAUUAGCUAGUUGGCGGGGUAAAGGCCCACCAAGGCGACGAUCCGUAGCUGGUCUGAGAGGAUGAUCAGCCACACUGGAACUGAGACCCGGUCCAGACUCCUACGGGAGGCAGCAGUGGGGAAUAUUGGACAAUGGGCGCAAGCCUGAUCCAGCCAUACCGCGUGGGUGAAGAAGGCCUUCGGGUUGUAAAGCCCUUUUGUUGGGAAAGAAAAGCAGCAGGUUAAUACCCCGCUGUUCUGACGGUACCCAAAGAAUAAGCACCGGCUAACUUCGUG